rnacentral:rRNA from 1 species
AACUAACGCUGGCGGCGUGCCUAACACAUGCAAGUCGUACGAGAAAGCCGGCUUCGGCUGGUGAGUAAAGUGGCGCACGGGUGAGUAACGCGUGGAUAAUCUGCCCUUAAGUGUGGAAUAACGUACCGAAAGGUGCGCUAAUACCGCAUAAUGCCUGGCAACACAAGUUGUCCGGCCAAAAGAAGGCCUCUGUUUACAAGCUUUCGCUUCAGGAUGAGUCCGCGUACCAUUAGCUUGUUGGUGGGGUAAUGGCCUACCAAGGCUGCGAUGGUUAGCUGGUCUGAGAGGAUGAUCAGCCACACUGGAACUGAGACACGGUCCAGACUCCUACGGGAGGCAGCAGCUAAAGAAUAUUCCGCAAUGGACGAAAAGUCUGACGGAGCGACGCCGCGUGGAUGAAGAAGGCCGAAAGGUUGUAAAAGUUCUUUUGCUAGGGGAGAAUAAGUGAGGGAGGGAAUGCCCUCAUGAUGACAAGGACAGCGAAAAACGCCCCGA